rnacentral:rRNA from 1 species
GAUGAACGCUAGCUACAGGCUUAACACAUGCAAGUCGAGGGGAAACGGCAUUUAGUGCUUGCACCGAAUGGACGUCGACCGGCGCACGGGUGAGUAACGCGUAUCCAACCUACCCAUUACUGUGGGAUAACCUGCCGAAAGGCAGACUAAUACCGCAUAGUCUUCGAUGACGGCAUCAGAUUUGAAGUAAAGAUUUAUCGGUAAUGGAUGGGGAUGCGUCUGAUUAGCUUGUUGGCGGGGUAACGGCCCACCAAGGCAACGAUCAGUAGGGGUUCUGAGAGGAAGGUCCCCCACAUUGGAACUGAGACACGGUCCAAACUCCUACGGGAGGCAGCAGUGAGGAAUAUUGGUCAAUGGGCGAGAGCCUGAACCAGCCAAGUAGCGUGCAGGAAGACGGCCCUAUGGGUUGUAAACUGCUUUUAUGUGGGGAUAAAGUGAGCUACGUGUAGUUUAUUGCAGGUACCACAUGAAUAAGGACCGGCUAAUUCCGUGCCAGCAGCCGCGGUAAUACGGAAGGUCCAGGCGUUAUCCGGAUUUAUUGGGUUUAAAGGGAGCGUAGGCCGUGGAUUAAGCGUGUUGUGAAAUGUAGACGCUCAACGUCUGAAUUGCAGCGCGAACUGGUUCACUUGAGUAUGCACAACGUAGGCGGAAUUCGUCGUGUAGCGGUGAAAUGCUUAGAUAUGACGAAGAACUCCGAUUGCGAAGGCAGCUUACGGGAGCACAGCUGACGCUGAAGCUCGAAGGUGCGGGUAUCAAACAGG